CCCUUAGAUGUCCGGGGCCGCACGCGCGCUACACUGAAGGAAUCAGCGUGGCUUUCUCCCUGACCCGAAAGGGUUGGGAAACCCGUUGAAUCUCCUUCGUGAUAGGGAUUGGGGCUUGAAAUUGUUCCCCAUGAACGAGGAAUUCCCAGUAAGCGCGAGUCAUAAGCUCGCGUUGAUUACGUCCCUGCCCUUUGUACACACCGCCCGUCGCUACUACCGAUUGAACGGUUUAGUGAGGGCCUCGGAUUGGUCUCGGCCCGCUCUUUACCGGGCGGCGCCGUUGGUCGAGAAGACGCUCGAACUUGAUCAUUUAGAGGAAGUAAAAGUCGUAACA
rnacentral:rRNA from 1 species